GUUGUACAAUCUGAUAAACCACUUAAGCUUGUUUGGGGAAAAUUUCUAAAUGAGGUUAUCUUGGUUGUUUCUUUUACGCAUGAUGAUUAAGUUCUACCUAAAGCUUUGGUGAUUACAUUAAUGGAGGGAUAGUUGAAAGGUAGAAGAUAUAUUUCUUUAUGGGUUUGAGUGUAACACAUGCAUUUAGUACUAGUAAACAGAGUUUUAAUCUCAAUUUUCAUGUUAAGAAGCCUAAAAAUUGGUAUGCCUGAGGAAUAGAUGUACUCUGGUUUUGUUGGCUUAUAAUAAUUCACUUUACCCAUAAAUAAAUAUCAAAAAAAAAUAAGCCUAAAAAUUUAAAUUUUCCUGUGAAAUUGUUUUGAAGUGUGAAGACUUAAUCAUAUCAGGGAGCUAAUUAAAUGAUCUUGAUAGAUUUUUGUGCUUGCUUUCAUGCUUAUAUAUGUGUGUAUAUAUAUAAUUAUAUAAACAAGUAGUUGAAUGGAAAGAUUUAUGUAGCAAAAAAUUAUGCCUUAACAAGCUGAGCUGAUUAUAGAAUAUAGUUAUUUAAUUUUUAGACGAGGUAAUUCGCUUUCAGUUGCAUUUGUUUCUAAGGGAAUCAUUUAGAGGGAGAAGAAAAUGCACAUGUUUCAACGUAUUAAAUUUAAGCUUUCCUAAUUAUUGAUGUAUGCAUUAAGCUUGAACUUUUUUUCAAAAGAAUUUGAAGUUAAACUUGUUUUCCAUUCAUGUAUAGAUAGUAUAUUCUAUUGUCUGAAGCCACUCUUAUGUUCUAUUUACAAGGAAAAGGAUUUUUGUGCACUAAAUUGAGAUUUGGAAUAGCAAGUAACGACAUUGCCUUCGAAAUUAUUUGCAAGGAGUAUAGAGCGUAUAGUGGUAUACUAUUAACUACACUGUUGGAUGCAUGACCUAUGUUCAAAGUUGGUUAGAACAAAGUUCGUUUUCAAUGCAAAAGUCAAAUGACAAUGGAGAUCUAGAAAGUUUGGUGCUACUUUUAAAAUGUUUGAAAAUUAUGUGGAGAAUCAGAGUCAUUUGCUUGAAAUGAAAGGGAACCUUAACCAUCAAGGUUCUCCCCGAACUUUCACAAAACUCAUUAUAAGUGUCAUCAACAUACUCUUAGGUUUCAAAAGUCAGAGAAAAAACAAAGCAAGAAGAUACAAAGUAUCAUAGUGUUGAAGGCAGAAAGGUACCAUGGGAAAUUUCGAGAGUGGAGAAAGUUCAGAUUCUGAUGGACAAGCUUCUUGAUUGGAGAUUAGAGAUGGACAUGUUUGGUAAUCUGGAGAGCAAGAGCUUGCUCAUUUCGUAUUUUUGUUAAUAUUACCUUACAUGUAUUUUGGUUGCAUUGUAAAGUUUAUAUUUUUGUAUAUGGAGACAUGUUUGGUGAUCUGCAUGUAACAACCCUCGUCACUGUUUACCGAGUAACCACCGAUUACCGUUAAACUAAAACUGAUUAUGACUGAUAAUUGAACUGAAUAAAAUACUGAACUGACUGACUGAAAUUUGAAACUGAAAUG